rnacentral:rRNA from 1 species
UACGUAGGUGGCAAGCGUUAUCCGGAUUUAUUGGGCGUAAAGGGAACGCAGGCGGUCUUUUAAGUCUGAUGUGAAAGCCUUCGGCUUAACCGGAGUAGUACAUUGGGAACUGCCAGGCUGGAGUGCCGGAGAGGCAGGCGGAAUUCCUAGUGUAGCGGUGAAAUGCGUAGAUAUUAGGAGGAACACCAGUGGCGAAGGCGGCCUGCUGGACGGUGACUGACGCUGAGGCUCGAAAGCGUGGGGAGCAAACAGG